rnacentral:misc_RNA from 1 species
GUAGGUGAACCUGCGGAAGGAUCAUUACCGAGUUCGGGGUUUCCCCAACUCCCACCCUUGUCUACCUCACGUUGCUUCGGCGAGACGUUGGAAGCAGCCAUCGGCUAUUCCUAAUAGAUGACCCGAUGCGUGCUCGCCGGACUCCAAAUACUCUUAGACUAUGUACAGUCAGAUGAAACAAGCAAUAUAUAAAAACUUUCAACAA